rnacentral:rRNA from 1 species
UAAUACGGAGGAUCCAAGCGUUAUCCGGAAUCAUUGGGUUUAAAGGGUCCGUAGGCGGUUAGAUAAGUCAGUGGUGAAAUCCGGCAGCUUAACUGUCGAACUGCCAUUGAUACUGUUUGACUUGAAUUACUGUGAAGUAACUAGAAUAUGUAGUGUAGCGGUGAAAUGCUUAGAUAUUACAUGGAAUACCAAUUGCGAAGGCAGGUUACUAAUGGUUUAUUGACGCUGAUGGACGAAAGCGUGGGGAGCGAACAGG